rnacentral:rRNA from 2 species
CCCCUAGUAACUGCGAGUGAAGCGGGAAAAGCUCAAAUUUGAAAUCUGGCNNNNNNNNNNNNCGCCCGAGUUGUAUUCUGGAGAAGCGUUUUCCGUGCCGGACCGUGUACAAGUCCCUUGGAACAGGGCGUCAUARAGGGUGAGAAUCCCGUCUUUGACACGGACUCCCGGUGCUAUGUGAUGCGCUCUCGAAGAGUCGAGUUGUUUGGGAAUGCAGCUCASRAUGGGUGGUAAAUUCCAUCUAAAGCUAAAUAUUGGCGAGAGACCGAUAGCGAACAAGUACCGUGAGGGAAAGAUGAAAAGCACUUUGGAAAGAGAGUAAAACAGUACGUGAAAUUGUUGARAGGGAAACGCUUGAAGUCAGUCGCGUCUGCCGGAACUCAGCCUUGCUUCUGCUCGGUGCACUUUCCGGUUCGACGGGCCAGCAUCGGUUUUGGGCGGCGGACACUGGCGCGGGGAAGGUGGCAGCUCCGGCUGUGUUAUAGCCCCGCGUCGCAAACGCCGUCUGGGACCGAGGAAUCCGGCGCAAGCCUGGGAUGCUGGCGUAAUGGCUUUAAACGACCCGUCUUGAAACACGGACCAAGGAGUGCUACACGCUCGCGAGUGUUUGGGUGGAAAACCCGGACGCGCAAUGAAAGUGAAAGUCGAUACCCCUCGCGGGGGCACCGACGCCCGAGCCUGAUGUUUUCGGAAGGCCUUGCGGUAGAGCGAGUGCGUUGCGACCCGAAAGAUGGUGAACUAUUCCUGAGGAGGGCGAAGCCAGAGGAAACUCUGGUGGAGGCUCGUAGCGGUUCUGACGUGCAAAUCGAUCGCAGGACUUGGGUAUAGGGGCGAAAGACUAAUCGAACCAUCUAGUAGCUGGUUCCUGCCGAAGUUUCCCUCAGGAUAGCAGAAGCUCAUAUCAGAUUUAUGUGGUAAAGCGAAUGAUUAGAGGCCUUGGGGUUGAAACAACCUUAACCUAUUCUCAAACUUUAAAUAUGUAAGGACGAGCCGUCACUUGAUUGGACCGCUCGACGAUUGAGAGCUUCUAGUGGGCCAUUUUUGGUAAGCAGAACUGGCGAUGCGGGAUGAACCGAUCGCGAGGUUAAGGUGCCGGAAUGCACGCUCAUCAGACACCACAAAAGGUGUUAGUUCAUCUAGACAGCAGGACGGUGGCCAUGGAAGUCGGAAUCCGCUAAGGAGUGUGUAACAACUCACCUGCCGAAUGAACUAGCCCUGAAAAUGGAUGGCGCUCAAGCGUGCUACCCAUACCUCGCCDSCAGWNGUUGAAGUGACGCGCUGACGAGUAGGCAGGCGUGGGGGUCCGUGA